rnacentral:rRNA from 1 species
AUACGGGGGAUGCGAGCGUUAUCCGGAUUUAUUGGGUUUAAAGGGUGCGCAGGCGGCGUGUCAAGUCAGCGGUCAAAAUGCGGCGCUCAACGCCGUACCGCCGUUGAAACUGGCAUGCUCGAGUUCGUGCGAGGAUGGCGGAAUGCGCGGUGUAGCGGUGAAAUGCAUAGAUAUCGCGCAGAACUCCGAUUGCGAAGGCAGCUGUCCAGCACACGACUGACGCUCAUGCACGAAAGUGUGGGUAUCGAACAGGAUUAGAUACCCUGGUAGUCCACGCGGUAAACGAUGAUAACUAGUUAUUCGGCGCGACUGAGUGCUGAGUGACCGAGCGAAAGCGUUAAGUUAUCCACCUGGGGAGUACGCCGGCAACGGUGAAACUUAAAGGAAUUGACGGGG